rnacentral:rRNA from 1 species
CCUACGGGAGUCAGCAGUGGGGAAUAUUGGGCAAUGGAGGAAACUCUGACCCAGCAACGCCGCGUGAAGGAUGAAGGUUUUCGGAUUGUAAACUUCUGUCGCGAGUGAUGAAGAAUGACGGUACCUCGUAAGAAAGCCCCGGCAAACUACGUGCAAGCAGCCGCGGUAAUCCGUUGGGGGCGAGCGUUGUCCGGAAUGACUGGGCGUCAAGGGAGUGUAGGCGGAAUAUUAAGUUAUGUGUGAAAGCCCGCGGCUCAAGCGCGGAAUUGCACAUAAAAAGGGUAAGCUGGAGUGCAGGAGAGGUAAGUUGAAUUCCCGGUGUAGCGGUGGAAUGCGUAGUUAUCGGGAGGAACACCAGAGGCGAAGGCGACUUACUGGACUGUAACUGACGCUGAGGCUCGAAAGCGUGGGGAGCAAACAGGAUUAGAUACCCGGGUAGUC